UAUAAUGACUCUCGGCAACGGAUAUCUCGGCUCUUGCAUCGAUGAAGAACGUAGCGAAAUGCGAUACUUGGUGUGAAUUGCAGAAUCCCGUGAACCAUCGAGUCUUUGAACGCAAGUUGCGCCCGAAGCCAUUAGGUCGAGGGCACGUCUGCCUGGGUGUCACA
rnacentral:rRNA from 1 species